AAUGGGCGCAAGCCUGAUCCAGCCAUGCCGCGUGAGUGAUGAAGGCCCUAGGGUCGUAAAGCUCUUUCGCCAGGGAUGAUAAUGACGGUACCUGGUAAGGAAACCCCGGCUAACUCCGUGCCAGCAGCCGCGGUAAUACGGAGGGGGUUAGCGUUGUUCGGAAUUACUGGGCGUAAAGCGCGCGUAGGCGGAUUAGUCAGUUAGAGGUGAAAUCCCGGGGCUCAACCCCGGAACUGCCUUUAAUACUGCUAGUCUUGAGUUCGAGAGAGGUGAGUGGAAUUCCGAGUGUAGAGGUGAAAUUCGUAGAUAUUCGGAGGAACACCAGUGGCGAAGGCGGCUCACUGGCUCGAUACCGACGCUGAGGUGCGAAAGUGUGGGGAGCAAACAGGAUU
rnacentral:rRNA from 1 species